rnacentral:rRNA from 1 species
AUUGAACGCUGGCGGCAUGCCUUACACAUGCAAGUCGAACGGUAACAGGUCUUCGGAUGCUGACGAGUGGCGAACGGGUGAGUAAUACAUCGGAACGUGCCUAGUAGUGGGGGAUAACUACUCGAAAGAGUGGCUAAUACCGCAUGAGAUCUACGGAUGAAAGCAGGGGAUCGCAAGCACUGGUGCUACUAGAGCGGACGAAGUCAGAUUAGGUAGUUGGUGGGAUAAAAGCUUACCAAGCCGACGAUCUGUAGCUGGUCUGAGAGGACGAUCAGCCACACUGGGACUGAGACACGGCCCAGACUCCUACGGGAGGCAGCAGUGGGGAAUUUUGGACAAUGGGCGCAAGCCUGAUCCAGCAAUGCCGCGUGCAGGAUGAAGGCCUUCGGGUUGUAAACUGCUUUUGUACGGAACGAAAAGCCCUGGGUUAAUACCCUGGGUUCAUGACGGUACCGUAAGAAUAAGCACCGGCUAACUACGUGCCAGCAGCCGCCGUAA